GUAUGUGGUACACUACCCCAGAGAGUUUCAAUCGUUUUUAAUUAACUAUGAUAGAAACCUCUGAGGUGGAUUAUCACACAG
rnacentral:pre_miRNA from 1 species